CCCGGGCCCUGGCUUCUUGGCCUGAUGGUGAGGCACCAGAGGCACUGCUAGCCUUGAAGCCUCCAGCCUGCUGGAUGCCUCCAUCCCCGGCUAUGCUGUGGCUCUCCUCAUUCUAGGCCUCCUGCUCGUCACAUUCACCCUUGUCCUGGUGCUAAAGUGGAGGGCCUCCCAUGGGGUGUUCAGCCUGGGUGUGUAGAAGCACACAGUGUGGUACAGAGGACCCUCUCCAGACAGGUGACCCCUCAUGCUGCUGCUCCCUCUGCUGAAACCCAAACUGCAAACCUCUCCUCUCCCUGCCUUCACCUUGCCCCACGGCUUCCACAGACAGUGCCUCAACCCCGAGGAAUGAAUCCGAAGUUCCAACACCACUGACUUUCCCAGGAACUCAGAGCCAGAGAGGGCCAAGGACCAGCUCGAGGACACACAGCCAGGGCUUCUUCCCUCCGAAACCCCCAAGGACUGGACUUGCAGGGCUGGGACAGAGGUGGGGUGGGGGAAAGCAAUGCCUUGUCAACCCACGUGGGGAGCCCCACUCCCAUCCCCAAGGUGCAUAAAGUUGAGGAACACCCCUGC
rnacentral:lncRNA from 1 species